UGUGAUAUGGUAUAUAUAUAGAGCAAUAUUAUUUAUUUUUAAUAAAAUAAAUAAAUAAAUCAAGACCGUAUUAUUCUUUCCAACGUCAAAUUAUUCAUGUAACCAAAGUAU